ACCAACUCCUCAGCUAGAACACAGUAAGGGCUCAACUCCUUGUGCAAUGGCCGCGAACAGUUCAAGGGUAAACUUUUUAAAUAAAAAACAAAAAAUACAAUGAAUGUACAGGAACCAUUUAAUGUUCUGGAAAUGUUCAUAGAAUUUCACUAGUUUGUACAAUUAAAGUUAUUUAAAAAUAAAACUACCUUAACAUGGAUCACAAUGAAUAAAUAACCCAACUUCAGCUGGUAAGAUAUGUAAUCUGAAAGUACUCUCUCUGGGAAACCGUCAUAAACAUGCCGUUCUGGAAUGCAUGUGGAACCUAGCAACCACUUUUAAAGUUGCAUUUGCCCUUAUCUCUCUCUCUCUCUCUACUUUCCCACUCAAGACCUAAAUAUCUUUAAGAAUCAGGUUAUUUAGUCCAGCUCUUUCCCACUGACCUCCACUGUUAACUACAUGAAUCACCCAGUUUUUUGCUUUUUAAAGAAAAAAGGAAGAAAACCACGACACACCGGAAUUUUGCUUUAAAAAAUUUCCAAGAAGGCUAGAAAAGGUAUGUUUGGGACCCAUAGGCAAUUUCCUUCCACUAAGAUAAAAAGGGUUUUGGUUUUUUUUUUUUUUUUUUUUUUU